AUGAACUGGUUUCCCUUCAAAUCACGCACAAAUCUUUUGUCUUUUAUUAAAGAUUUCUGUGGAGGAGAACAAUUAAUGAAUCAAUAGACCAAUUUUUUGUGCCAAAA
rnacentral:snRNA from 1 species